rnacentral:rRNA from 1 species
AGAGUUUGAUCCUGGCUCAGGAUGAACGCUAGCUACAGGCUUAACACAUGCAAGUCGAGGGGCAGCAUGAUCUUAGCUUGCUAAGAUUGAUGGCGACCGGCGCACGGGUGAGUAACGCGUAUCCAACCUACCUCAUAGUAGGGAAUAGCCCGGAGAAAUCCGGAUUAAUGCCCUAUGUGGUCCUAUGCAGACAUCUAAAUGGGACCAAAGGUUUACCGCUAUGUGAUGGGGAUGCGUCUGAUUAGGUUGUUGGCGGGGUGACGGCCCACCAAGCCUGCGAUCAGUAGGGGUUCUGAGAGGAAGGUCCCCCACAUUGGAACUGAGACACGGUCCAAACUCCUACGGGAGGCAGCAGUGAGGAAUAUUGGUCAAUGGCCGGGAGGCUGAACCAGCCAAGUAGCGUGCAGGAUGACGGCCCUAUGGGUUGUAAACUGCUUUUGUCAGGGAAUAAAGUCGGGGACGCGUCCCUGUUUGUAUGUACCUGAAGAAUAAGCUCCGGCUAACUACGUGCCAGCAGCCGCGGUAAUACGUAGGGAGCGAGCGUUGUCCGGAUUUACUGGGUGUAAAGGGUGCGUAGGCGGCCGAGCAAGUCAGAUGUGAAAUCUAUGGGCUUAACCCAUAAACUGCAUUUGAAACUGUUCUUCUUGAGUGCUGGAGGGGCAAUCGGAAUUCCUUGUGUAGCGGUGAAAUGCGUAGAUAUAAGGAAGAACACCAGUGGCGAAGGCGGAUUGCUGGACAGUAACUGACGGUGAGGCGCGAAAGUGUGGGGAGCAAACAGGAUUAGAUACCCUGGUAGUCCACACUGUAAACGAUG